rfam:Eubacteriaceae bacterium CHKCI004 isolate CHKC4 genome assembly, contig: {contig18}
GGGGGAUUAGCUCAGUUGGGAGAGCGCCUGCCUUGCAAGCAGGAGGUCACGAGUUCGACUCUCGUAUUCUCCA